UUUUCGUGCAAGGCGGCUACUACCUCGCAGCACGAAUGUUGAUUUAACAGGGCUGCCAUUUUUUGACUGUUGAAACAGUCCGACCUCGGGCGUCAGCUUCAGCAAACACACAAUAUCCUGGAGCAUAGAA